rnacentral:rRNA from 1 species
AUGGACAUGGCAGCGAUGAACGACCCGGAGAGGCUCUUCUUCUUCGACCUCGCCUGCAAGACCGCCAAGUCCACCUACGACGAGAACCCGCUCGACGCCGACAACCUGACGCGAUGGGGCGGCGCGCUGCUGGAGCUGUCGCAGAUGCAUAACGGCCCCGAGAGCCUCAAGUGCCUCGAAGAUGCUGAGUCUAAGCUGGAUGAAGCACUGAGAAUUGAUCCCAACAAGGCUGAUGCACUCUGGUGCUUGGGGAAUGCCCUGACCUCUCGUGGAUUCUUCACUUCGGAAACUGUCCAGGCUAAUGAAUGCUUUGAAAAAGCAACUGGUUGUUUCCAGAGGGCUGUUGAUGUGGAACCAGCAAAUGAGUUGUACAGGAAGUCAUUGGAUUUGUCAUCAAAGGCACCUGAACUGCAUAUGGAGAUCCAUAGGCAAAUCGCAUCUCAAGCCUCACAAGGAGCACCCUCGUCCUCAAAUGCAAGGCAAACAAGGAAAAAGAAGAAGAACAAUGACUUCUGGUAUGAUCUGGCUGGAUGGGGGAUUCUUCUCAUUGGCAUCGGUGUUUGGCUAGGAGUGGCCAACAGUCAAGCCAAGGAGGCACAACCACCUCACAUGUCACAGCCUAACAUGUGA